rnacentral:hammerhead_ribozyme from 1 species
AUCCAGCCGAUGAGUUCCAAACAGGACUAAACGCGCUUCUUGGAU